rnacentral:lncRNA from 1 species
AAGUUUUCCCAAAUCUAUCUCCAUUACAUAAAGUUAUGAAAUAUGUAUUGACAAAAAGUGAAUUUUUAUGUUAAAGAUGAGGGCUUUAGUUCAGGGAGGUCAUUGAAGAUGGUGAAUUUUUGGUGGCAGGGUUGGGGUAGAGUUGCAGGGAGGACACCGUGGAGGCUUAGGGUUUAGGAAGAAGAUAAAAGUUGAGUAGUAAAAUGGUAUUUUAAGAAAAA